CGCAGGCUCGGCCGCGCGGGUAGGGAGUGCGCAGGCUCCGGGCUCCCGCCCCCCGGGCUCGGGCCAGAAGCGCCAACUUUGCGGGGGCCCGGCCCGGUGCGAGCCCCUCCGCGAGGCCAGCACCUGAGCGCGCAUGAGAGUUGGGGCAGGAGCUCCCGCCGGAGUCUGCAGCCGCCAGCAGAGUGUGGUCCAAGAGAGACCCCGAGAUGCUGGCGCGUGACCUUGCAGAAUGCUGCGUCCGUCCCCUGCUCUGGAGUGACUGUUCUCCGUGACAGGAUCCUAUGAGGACCCGCGGGCAUGUGGGCCACGAUGGGGCACCCGGUCCCCACUCCGUGGACGAGGCCAAGCUCCGGUUUAUGGCUGAGACCCUCGACCGGAAGACAAUUCUGUAGGGAAAGAGAUGGUGACGCCUCCAGGUCCUCCAUGAACACCGAUGACCUGACGGUUGCGUCUGUCGCGCCGAGCGGACGCCGCGGGGAAGGUGCAGGUGCUCGGCCGCCCUCGGAGCCCGGGCGCGGGACGUCCUUCUCGGAAGCACCAGCGGCCACACACAGAUCGACGCCAGCUGCUCACUGA
rnacentral:lncRNA from 12 species